AUUGAACGCUGGCGGCAGGCUUAACACAUGCAAGUCGAGCGAGCGGCGGACGGGUGAGCAAUGUCUGGGAAACUGCCUGAUGGAGGGGGAUAACUACUGGAAACGGUAGCUAAUACCGCAUACCAUCAGAUGUGCCCAGAUGGGUUUAGCUAGUAGGCGGGGUAAUGGGUCACCUAGGCGACGAUCCCUAGCUGGUCUGAGAGGCUGAUCGGCCACACUGGGACGGAGACACGGACCAGACUCCUACGGGAGGCAGCAGUGGGGAAUAUUGAGCAAUGGGCGCAAGCCUGAUGCAGCAAUGACGCGUGUGUGAAGAAGGCCUUCGGGUUGUAAAGCACUUUCAGCGUGGAGGCGUUACUCGCAGAAGAAGCACCGGCUAACUCCGUGCCAGACAGCGCGGUGAUUC
rnacentral:rRNA from 1 species